GAUGAAGAACGUAGCGAAAUGCGAUAAGUAAUGUGAAUUGCAGAAUUCAGUGAAUCAUCGAAUCUUUGAACGCUUCUUGCGCUCCUUGGUAUUCUGAGGAGCAUGCCUGUUUGAGUGUCAUUAAAUUCUCAACUACACUGACUUUCAAUUGGUGUGGCUUGGAUUUGGGGGGAAAAUUGUUGUGGGCUUUUUGUAUAGUCUGCUCCCCUGAAAUUGAUUAGCGGUACCUUUGUGGAACUGUCUACAGGUGUGAUAAUUAUCUACAUCGUAGACAUCUGCUGGAAUGCUGCUUUCUAAACCUUACUUGUAUUGACAAUCUUGACCUCAAAUCAGGUAGGACUACCCGCUGAACUUAAGCAUAUCAAUAAGCGGAGGA
rnacentral:misc_RNA from 1 species